CCUCCUUUCUAGAGAAAGACGACUUUUGACUAUAAGUAUCAAUCCUUUGCGUUUGCUUGCUGUCAUUUUUUAUUAAUUAACCCUUAAAAUAGAAUCUCGUUAAGAGUCUCGUAGCUCAGCCGGUUAGAGCGCUACACUGAUAAUGUAGAGGUCGGCAGUUCGAGUCUGCCCGAGACUACUAAAUUCCAUUUAUGGAAAUAGGGGGGAUUAGCUCAGCUGGCUAGAGCGCCUGCCUUGCACGCAGGAGGUCAUCGGUUCGACUCCGAUAUUCUCCACAACUUCUUAAUGUAUAUUAAGAAUAAGAGUUCAUUGACAUAUUGAAAAUAUCAAGUACAAUUCAAAAUUAUUUCGUUAUCCAAUUGAAUAAUUUAUUGAGAUUGUACAGAGUUAACGUAAAUGAGUAUUUAAUAUUGUUAUUAUUAAAUACUAAAUAAUUUUACAAUUUAAGAAAGAGUUAAGAGUUACUUGUAACUUUUUAAGUUACAAUAGGCUAAUUAAGAGCGUAGGGGAAUGCCUUGGCUCUCAAAGGCGAUGA
rnacentral:tRNA from 1 species